AUUGAACGCUGGCGGCAGGCCUAACACAUGCAAGUCGAGCGGAUGAAGGGAGCUUGCUCCUGGAUUCAGCGGCGGACGGGUGAGUAAUGCCUAGGAAUCUGCCUGGUAGUGGGGGAUAACGUCCGGAAACGGGCGCUAAUACCGCAUACGUCCUGAGGGAGAAAGUGGGGGAUCUUCGGACCUCCCGCUAUCACAUGAGCCUAGGUCGGAUUAGCUAGUUGGUGGGGUAAAGGCCUACCAAGGCGACGAUCCGUAACUGGUCUGAGAGGAUGAUCAGUCACACUGGAACUGAGACACGGUCCAGACUCCUACGGGAGGCAGCAGUGGGGAAUAUUGGACAAUGGGCGAAAGCCUGAUCCAGCCAUGCCGCGUGUGUGAAGAAGGUCUUCGGAUUGUAAAGCACUUUAAGUUGGGAGGAAGGGCAGUAAGUUAAUACCUUGCUGUUUUGACGUUACCAACAGAAUAAGCACCGGCUAACUUCGUG
rnacentral:rRNA from 1 species